rnacentral:rRNA from 1 species
UCCGUAGGUGAACCUGCGGAGGGAUCAUUACACAAAUAUGAAGGCGGGCUGGAACCUCUCGGGGUUACAGCCUUGCUGAAUUAUUCACCCUUGUCUUUUGCGUACUUCUUGUUUCCUUGGUGGGUUCGCCCACCACUAGGACAAACAUAAACCUUUUGUAAUUGCAAUCAGCGUCAGUAACAAAUUAAUAACUACAACUUUCAACAACGGAUCUCUUGGUUCUGGCAUCGAUGAAGAACGCAGCGAAAUGCGAUAAGUAGUGUGAAUUGCAGAAUUCAGUGAAUCAUCGAAUCUUUGAACGCACAUUGCGCCCUUUGGUAUUCCAAAGGGCAUGCCUGUUCGAGCGUCAUUUGUACCCUCAAGCUUUGCUUGGUGUUGGGCGUCUUGUCUCUAGCUUUGCUGGAGACUCGCCUUAAAGUAAUUGGCAGCCGGCCUACUGGUUUCGGAGCGCAGCACAAGUCGCACUCUCUAUCAGCAAAGGUCUAGCAUCCAUUAAGCCUUUUUUUCAACUUUUGACCUCGGAUCAGGUAGGGAUACCCGCUGAACUUAA